rnacentral:misc_RNA from 1 species
GAUGAAGAACGUAGCGAAAUGCGAUACUUGGUGUGAAUUGCAGAAUCCCGUGAACCAUCGAGUCUUUGAACGCAAGUUGCGCCCGAAGCCAUUAGGCCGAGGGCACGCCUGCCUGGGCGUCACACGUCGUUGCCCCCCCAUCUACUCCUUCGGGAUUGCGGGGGGCGGAUGAUGGCCUCCCGUGCGCCUCGUCGCGCGGUUGGCAUAAAUGCCAAGUCCUCGGCGACGCACGCCACGACAAUCGGUGGUUGCGAAACCUCGGUUGCCCGUCGUGUGCGGUCGUCGCGCAUCGAGGGCUCGAAAAAAGUGUCGGGCUCCGGCUCGGCUUUCAACGCGACCCCAGGUCAGGCGGGGUUACCCGCUGAAUUUAAGCAUAUCAAUAAGCGGAGGA